AAAUCAUUUUGGGGACAAUUUCUUAUCAAUCCUUUGUAGCGUUCCCAUGCCUCGUAGAGUGACUCACCCAGUUGUUGCUCAAAGUUUAUGUUGUCUUUCUUGAGUUU